UUGACCUGGGAACCACUGGCCUAGGACAUCUGGAAUACCAAAAGGCCACAGUCAGAAGUGCUGCUUGAUGAGAACACCUGAGGAAUAUCUCAGCAUUCCCACAUUUCACUACAAAGAGUGUCUCCUUCCCUUUACAAGCCAAUGACCGUGAACUGAAACUGUUGAAGGGAG
rnacentral:lncRNA from 1 species